UUUGGGACUUCCUCUUGUUUCAAGCCAUUCCUGCAUAUGACGCACCUUGGAGAUGGGACCUUGCAAUUGUCCUUGCACUGUGCCCCGGUCAGUGUUCUGGACCCAGCCUACCAAUCCCAGCUUUUUACCCUCAGCCUAAGGGGGGAAAAAAGAGAGAGAGAUCCAGUGAGAUUGAGGAAAACAAGAAAAGAAAAGCAGCUGGUGAUCAACCUCUCAACAGCAAACCAUGAGACUACAUAACUAUCAGGUUUUCACUUGACUUUCUUCUCUUCUGUCUAAAUAAUCACAAUGCCUUUAGGCUUAUGAAAAGCAUCUAAUCAUUAUAGUGGCUUAUCCUUUUUAAUGUUCUUUCCUUUUAUUAAACUGUGGCAAGACUGAAUGUUUAGGAAAGGUAGCAAUGUUUUGGAGGUAAUUUUAUUUUUGUAUAAAUUUAUGAUUAGAAUAUUAAGUCACUGAUUGUUAAAGUAAUCUAUCUAAAUAGAAGGUGUUGGAUUACAAAAGAAAAUGGGAGUUAACAUGAUUGCAUGUCAAAAUGUGGGAAAUUGCUGGAGUUGGCCAAAGAAAACGUUAUGCAUAGCAAAAAAAAUGUUUGAUGAGGAAUGUAAGUAUCCAUCAAAUCAAAGACAUGUUCAAAGCAAAGACAUGUUUGCUUAAUGAACAAAACAGACUCCAACCAAAUAAAUAGCCAUUUGAGGGAUACAAAGGAAAUUAAAGAAUGAAGAAAAAUAGAAGAUGCCUACCCGAUGCACUGCUAAGUGCCAAAGAAGAUACCAUAAAAGAAGAAUGCUGAGAAUGAAUUUUGAGUAAGACUCCACAUCCAACUGACUUGGUAUAACAACUGCCCUCUUCUGCUUCAAAUUAACCCACGGGAGCUGACUAUCUCCAGUUCUUAAGAGAUAUCUUAUAUGUAUGGUAAAUAGCUGUAAGAAUGUGCAGUUUUAAACAGGAGGUUUAACAGUCAAAUAAAUCUUUAAAAAUUUGCAGUGUGA